rnacentral:rRNA from 1 species
CAAUAGCGUAUAUUAAAGUUGUUGCGGUUAAAAAGCUCGUAGUUGGAUUUCUGUAUGAGGAGAGUGGUCCGCUCUACGAGCGCGCAUCUACUACUGCUCGUGCAUCCAGAAAGUUAAGGUGCGUUGCUUCGUUGCAAUGUCCGUAGCUUUCUCUUUUACUUUGAGGAAAUUAGAGUGUUCACGGCAGGCAAUCGCCCUGAAUACAUUAGCAUGGAAUAAUAAUAUAGGACUCCGGUUCCUAUUUUGUUUGGUUUUCGUUAGAGCUGGAGGUAAUAGAUUAAUAGGGAGUAAUUAGGGGGUCGGAUUCGUAUUAUCACGUCAG